GACGAACGCUGGCGGCGUGCCUAAUACAUGCCAGUAGAACGCACAGUUUAUACCGUAGCUUGCUACACCAUAAACUGUGAGUUGCGAACGGGUGAGUAACGCGUAGGUAACCUGCCUGGUAGCGGGGGAUAACUAUUGGAAACGAUAGCUAAUACCGCAUAAUAUUGAUUAUUGCAUGAUAAUUGAUUGAAAGAUGCUAUUGCAUCACUACCAGAUGGACCUGCGUUGUAUUAGCUAGUAGGUGAGGUAACGGCUCACCUAGGCGACGAUACAUAGCCGACCGGAGAGGGUGAUCGGCCACACUGGGACUGGGACACGGCCCAGACUCCUACGGGAGGCAGCAGUAGGGAAUCUUCGGCAAUGGACGAAAGUCUGACCGAGCAACGCCGCGUGAGUGAAGAAGGUUUUCGGAUCGUAAAGCUCUGUUGUAAGAGAAGAACGGGUGUGAGAGUGGAAAGUUCACACUGUGACGGUAUCUUACCAGAAAGGGACGGCUAACUACGUG
rnacentral:rRNA from 1 species